rnacentral:rRNA from 1 species
UACGGAGGAUCCAAGCGUUAUCCGGAUUUAUUGGGUUUAAAGGGUGCGUAGGCGGGAGAUUAAGUCGGUGGUGAAAUUUUGCAGCUCAACUGUAAAAGUGCCAUUGAUACUGGUUUCCUUGAGUGUGGAUGAAGUAGGCGGAAUUUGUGGUGUAGCGGUGAAAUGCAUAGAUAUCACGAGGAACUCCGAUUGCGCAGGCAGCUUACUAAACCAUAACUGACGCUCAGGCACGAAGGCGUGGGGAUCAAACAGGAUUAGAUACCCG